rnacentral:lncRNA from 1 species
AAAAAAAUAUCCCUGAACCAAAACAAAAAUUAACUGAGUAUAUUAAGCAAAUAAAAAGAGAGAAAAAGAUAAUUACGUCGAGAUACUCUUUAGCAUCAAGGGGCUGAGCGAAUUCACAAUAAGAGACUAAACCCGAUAUGACCUCUCCGUCCAAAUCCAAACUCUCAAUUCGCUUGCACAGAUCCACCAACGCCUUCUCUAACCAUUCUCCCGCUGUCUCCAUUCUUUCUUGCUUUCUCGCUGUCUCUGUUAAUGAAAAGAGUAGAGCCCUCAUUUAUAUUUUUGGGUUUUGCAAAAAUAGCGCUUUUUUAGAAACCAUCGCUGCAAAUUAUUUUAUAAAAGUAUCCACUUAGUAUAAA